GAGAGGAAAUGGCCCAGUAUCUCCCUCUCAACUUGCAGCAACUGCAGUAUAGCUGGAAGAACAAGGCCCAGAAAGGCUGAGCAAUGGCCUCAGGACACACAGCUUGCCGGAGGCACAGUCAGAGAGCUAGGAAAACGAGUGGAGAGCCUUCACUCUUUCUUCUGCCUGGCUGUCUCACACACGAACCUUUCAUAAAUGAAUGCUAACAGUUGUGAAUGAGGAGGAACCAGCCUGUCUGCUAAGUAGAUUUCCUGCACCGCCAUCCUGGCCCCUUUGUACUAACCCUUGAUACAACGGAAGUAUGUGUCUUAGAAAGGGAAGACUGGCUUCUACUUCACGGGCGAACAGGUACUGGGAAA